AACAGGAUUAGAUACCCUGGUAGUCCACGCCGUAAACGAUGUCGACUUGGAGGUUGUUCCCUUGAGGAGUGGCUUCCGGAGCUAACGCGUUAAGUCGACCGCCUGGGGAGUACGGCCGCAAGGUUAAAACUCAAAUGAAUUGACGGGGGCCCGCACAAGCGGUGGAGCAUGUGGUUUAAUUCGAUGCAACGCGAAGAACCUUACCUACUCUUGACAUCCAGAGAACUUAGCAGAGAUGCUUUGGUGCCUUCGGGAACUCUGAGACAGGUGCUGCAUGGCUGUCGUCAGCUCGUGUUGUGAAAUGUUGGGUUAAGUCCCGCAACGAGCGCAACCCUUAUCCUUUGUUGCCAGCGAUUCGGUCGGGAACUCAAAGGAGACUGCCGGUGAUAAACCGGAGGAAGGUGGGGAUGACGUCAAGUCAUCAUGGCCCUUACGAGUAGGGCUACACACGUGCUACAAUGGCGCAUACAAAGAGAAGCGACCUCGCGAGAGCAAGCGGACCUCAUAAAGUGCGUCGUAGUCCGGAUCGGAGUCUGCAACUCGACUCCGUGAAGUCGGAAUCGCUAGUAAUCGUGGAUCAGAAUGCCACGGUGAAUACGUUCCCGGGCCUUGUACACACCGCCCGUCACACCAUGGGAGUGGGUUGCAAAAGAAGUAGGUAGCUUAACCUCCGGGAGGGCGCUUACCACUUUGUGAUUCAUGACUGGGGUGAAGUCGUAACAAGGUAACC
rnacentral:rRNA from 1 species